rnacentral:lncRNA from 1 species
CCAUCCUCUGCAAUGAGCACUGACCUUUCUCUGGGCUGUAGAUGGAGUCACAGCAGGGGUCAACAAGGCCAUGGUGUGGAUUCAGGGCCUGGCAUUGGCCAGCCUGCUUCAUGCUAUAAGUAGGAGAAGCCUCUAGAGAGAGGCUGGCUUUUGAAUAUAGAAGGAUGUACAUUUUCCCUUCACAGAAAUCUGGCCUUUGCAACAGCCUAAAUGAAGACCUCAUCCUUUCUGUUCAAUGUCAUUCUUCGUCGAUCCUUGGAGGAGGCUGAGCAUAUAACCAGGCCAUGGAAUGGUGAAUAUGCAUCAUUUGGACAAUGAAGAAAGGCAAACCACCAAAGGCAAAAAGAGAAAGAAGGACCUCCAGAAUGGGAGAAUAAUUCCUCACUCGUCAGGUAAGCUGUACUCACUGUGUGUACUUCCUUGAUAUAAAAUGGUAUGGUGUUUGCAUAACCUGUCAGCCCAUGUACUUUACAUCAUCUCUAGAUUUACUUAUAAUAGCUAACAUAAUGUAAGUGCUGUGUAAAAUAGUUGUUAUACCAUAUUGUGUAGGAAAUAAUGACCAGAAAAAGAAAGUCUGUACAUGUUCAAUAUAGAAGCAAUCAUUUUUUCUAUUUUUUCCCCAAAUAUUUCUGAUCUGUGAUUGUUGGAAUGCCCAAAUGUGUGUAACCCACACCUAUGAAGAGCUGACUGUACUUGCUUUCCCAGAC